rnacentral:rRNA from 1 species
GACGAACGCUGGCGGCGUGCUUAACACAUGCAAGUCGAACGGAAAGGCCCUGCUUGCAGGGUACUCGAGUGGCGAACGGGUGAGUAACACGUGGGUGAUCUGCCCUGCACUUCGGGAUAAGCCUGGGAAACUGGUCUAAUACCGGAUAGGAGCCAUUUUUAGUGUGAUGGUUGGAAAGUUUUUUCGGUGUAGGAUGAGCUCGCGGCCUAUCAGCUUGUUGGUGGGGUAAUGGCCUACCAAGGCGGCGACGGGUAGCCGGCCUGAGAGGGUGGACGGCCACAUUGGGACUGAGAUACGGCCCAGACUCCUACGGGAGGCAGCAGUGGGGAAUAUUGCACAAUGGGCGCAAGCCUGAUGCAGCGACGCCGCGUGGGGGAUGACGGCCUUCGGGUUGUAAACUCCUUUCGCUAGGGACGAAGCUUUUGUGACGGUACCUAGAUAAGAAGCACCGGCUAACUACGUG